rnacentral:rRNA from 1 species
UACGUAGGGUGCGAGCGUUGUCCGGAAUUACUGGGCGUAAAGAGCUCGUAGGUGGUUUGUCGCGUUGUCCGUGAAAACUCACAACUCAAUUGUGGGCGUGCGGGCGAUACGGGCAGACUGGAGUACUGCAGGGGAGACUGGAAUUCCUGGUGUAGCGGUGGAAUGCGCAGAUAUCAGGAGGAACACCGGUGGCGAAGGCGGGUCUCUGGGCAGUAACUGACGCUGAGGAGCGAAAGCGUGGGGAUCAAACAGG